AGAGUUGUGGCUCAGCAGUAGAGCGCUCACCUAGCAUGUGCAAGGCCCUGGGUUCGAUUCUCAGCGUCACUU
rnacentral:tRNA from 1 species